ensembl:lncRNA
AGGGAAGCAAAAUACUCUUAUAAAUGAAGUAAUAUUUUUUUGCCCCAGGAAUUUAUUGUGACUAUCAUUUUAUUGUAAAUUUGUAGCUAUUUUGUAUAGUAGAGUAUGUUAGGGUUAGUGUCAUUGGAGUUGUGACUCAAUGUCAUCCUUCUAAAUGUGUGUAUAUUGUUCAAUAAUCUUAUCCGUAAUGUUAUCCACUUCUAGCCCUUUUAAGUGCGUACAUCUUAAAUGUGUAUUUCUGUGUGUACACAUAAAUAUACAAUAUAGCAUGCACAAUUAAAGAAAUUUAUUAUAGGCAAGAGUACUGGGGUAGGGUGCCAGUUGAUAGUUUUAACAAACUUGCAACAUAGUUUUUAAGAAAAUGAUGAUUGGAAUUUAGUAUAAGGGCAUAUGCUUCUUGUCAUUAUUUCCCUACCUACCAGCUUUUUGAAAUCUAGGUGGAAAGCAGUUUGUAUGUCUCUGCAUACCCUCAAAACAUAGAUAUUCAAAAUAAAUCUUUUCACAUUAGCUCAUUAAAUUUACCUACAUUAGGUGAAUAAGGAUAAGUAAAUACUUCUUUCAGAUUUCACCUGAAGAUCUUUAAGCCUUUUCAGGUAUCAUUUAUCAUUACAACAGUCUUAUCAAAAUAAAAAUGAUUACCUUCUUUCUCAGGCAUUAGUUGAAUGUGUAUACAUUUAAAACUUAUCCUUUGUUCAUUAUUCUUGUUCUUUCCCAGUUGUCUUGGGAAAAAUGUCCUUAACACUUGCUUUCACUUUUAUUCCUUUAUUCCACCCGAGAGCCUCCAAAAGCUCUGAGUUAUAAUUGGGUAAAUAGAAAGUUUUAGUGUCAAUUUUAGGAGAAGGGGAUGACAGAGGGUAAGAUGGUUGGAUGGCAUCACUGACUCGAUCGACAUGAGUUUGAGCAAGCUGCAGGAGUUGGUGAUGGACAGGGAAGCCUGGUGUGCUAUAGUCCAUGGGGUUGCAGAGAGUCAGACACGACUGAGCAACUGAACUGAACUGAGUGUCAAAUUAAUGUAGAGGAAGACAAAAGUUGCAGUUUUUGAAUAGACUUAGAGAACUAAUAUUGCUAAUCAUCUGUUUGCUUUUUAAUAUAAUAUUAUACUCAAAUCUGAAAAAGGACUUUAAAACUCCUGAGGGGACUUCCCUAGUGGUCUGUUGGUUAAGACUUUGCCCUUCCAUGGCAGGGCGCAUGGGUUCAGUCCCUGGUUGGGGAACUAAGAUCCCUCAUGCCUCACGGUGCAGCAAAAAAAAAAAAUCUUGGAAAGUCCCCGACCUCCCUUUUAGAAAAUAUCUGUGAAAUCUCUAGUUACUUCUCUAUCUUCAUCUAAUUAAGAUUGUGCUGCUGCUGCUUGUUUAGCUGUAGCAUUCAAGUUUAAAUUAUUAUAACCUGAAUACUUAGAAGAAUUUAUAGUGUAUAUUAUGUUAAGUAAUCUUUGAAA